rnacentral:rRNA from 1 species
CAGUCGCCGCGGUAAAACGGAGGGUGCAAGCGUUACUCGGGAUCACUGGGCGUAAAGGACGCGUAGGCGGAUUAUCAAGUCUCUUGUGAAAUCUAACGGCUUAACCGUUAAACUGCUUGGGAAACUGAUAACCUAGAGUAAGGGAGAGGCAGAUGGAAUUCUUGGUGUAGGGGUAAAAUCCGUAGAUAUCAAGAAGAAUACCUAUUGCGAAGGCGAUCUGCUGGAACUUAACUGACGCUAAUGCGUGAAAGCGUGGGGAGCAAACAGGAUUAGAUACCCCAGUAGUCCCUGUCUCUUAUAC